AUUGAACGCUGGCGGCAGGCCUAACACAUGCAAGUCGAGCGGAUGAAGGGAGCUUGCUCCUGGAUUCAGCGGCGGACGGGUGAGUAAUGCCUAGGAAUCUGCCUGGUAGUGGGGGAUAACGUCCGGAAACGGGCGCUAAUACCGCAUACGUCCUGAGGGAGAAAGUGGGGGAUCUUCGGACCUCACGCUAUCAGAUGAGCCUAGGUCGGAUUAGCUAGUUGGUGGGGUAAAGGCCUACCAAGGCGACGAUCCGUAACUGGUCUGAGAGGAUGAUCAGUCAAACGGAAACUGGGAAACGGCCCAACCCCUAAGGGGGGGCAGCAUUGGGAAUAUUGGAAAAUGGGGCGAAGCCUUAUCCCAGCAAGGCGGGGGUGUGAAAGAAGGUCUCCGAAUGGUAAAGCACUUAAGUUGGGAGGAAGGGCAGUAAGUUAAUACCUUGCUGUUUUGACGUUACCAACAGAAUAAGCACCGGCUAACUUCGUG
rnacentral:rRNA from 1 species